rnacentral:rRNA from 1 species
UUUACGGUUACCCGAUUAACUGUUGGAGUAUCAAACCGGUUAACUGUUGGAGUAUCAAACGGACUCCAAAUGGCACGAAACUUGACAGGCAGUCUACCCGUGCUAUACCAAGGCCACUUGGCAAACCUCGGGCCAUUCCGAGAAAGUUUAACACCCGCACACGAAAAGAGACAAGAGGGGGACGCUGGAGGGCAUAGGAGUGCCGGAUUGCAAAACGGACAACGGGGAAAAUGCUCAGAUGCAUGAGACGAACACGUAUGCAAUGCAAUGCACAUGAUGACAUGAUAAAAUGCAACACACAAGCAAAUGACAUGGAAAAGACAGCGAAUAAUUGGCAGACUCUUGGCGCAUCGAAUUCGGGGCGUUACAAUGGGAUAACAUUAUACAAUUCCUGUCCUAUUGUGUUGCCCUUCGGGAUUGGAGUAAUGAUUAAUAGGGACAGUCGAGGGCAUUCGUAUUUCAUUGUCAGAGGUGAAAUUAUUGGAUUUAUGGAAGACGAACAACUAUGAAAGCAUUUGCCUAGGAAGUUUUCAUUAAUCAAGAACAAAAGUUGGGGGCUCGAGGACGAUCAGAUAUCGUCCUAGUCUAAACCAUAAACGAUGCCGACCAGGGAUCGGCGGAUGUUGCUUAUAGGACUCCGCUGGCACCUUAUGAGAAAUCAAAUUCUCUAGGAUCCGGGGGGACUAUGGUCGCAAGAGUGAAACUUAAAGGAAUUGACAGAAGGGCACCACCAGGUGUGGAGCCUGCGGCUUAAUUUGACUCAACACGGGGAAACUUACCAGGUCCAAACAUAGCAAGAAUUGACAGACUAAGAGCUCUUUCUCGAUUCUAUGGGUGGUGGUGCAUGGCCGUUCUUAGUUGGUGGAGUGAUUUGUCUGGUUAAUUCCGUUAACGAACGAGACCUCCGUCUGCUAAGUAGCUAUGCAGAGCCAUCCCUUCACAUCUAGCUUCUUAGAGGGACUAUCGUUGUUUAGGCGACGGAAGUUUGAGGCAAUAACAGGUCUGUGAUGCCCUUAUAUGUUCUGGGCCGCACGCGUGCUACACUGAUGUAUUCAACGACUAUAUAGCCUUGGCCGACAGGCCCGGGUAAUCUUCGGAAAUUUCGUCGUUAUAUGGAUAGAUCGUUGCAAUUGUUGGUCUUCAACGACGAAUGCCUAGUAAGCGCGAGUCAUCAGCUCGAGUUGACUACAUCCCUGCCCUUUGUACACACCGCCCGUCGCUCCUAUCGAUUGAAUGGUAUGGUGAAGUAUUCGGAUUGUGGCGACCAUGGCGGUUCACCGCCCCCAGGGUCGCCAGAAGUCCAUUGAACCUUAUCAUAUAGAGGAAGGAUAAGUCGUAACAAGGUUUCCGAAGGUGAACCCGCGGAAG